GGCCUGGCGGCUGACGGGGUCUGCCUGGGCUUAGCGGGAGGAGCUGGGAGUUGGCAUGAAUUGCCACGAGAGGAAAUACAUCAAAGGGGCUUCCCUCCAAUUAAGCCCUGAAUAUGCCAGGAGGUUUCAGCCGGGAGAAAGGAGCUGUGGAAGAAAAGCAGCCUAAAAAUAGCCAGUGGGGAUCAUCAGGUUUUCCAGCCAAGAAAAACAAGGAGAGAGAUGAGGGAAUUGGGUUCCAAUUACUAAUGAUUUGGUGGGUGUAGGAAUGAUUUCUGUGUGUUUUCCAGUCCCUUUUGAUUCCUGAGAUGAUUUUAAAAUGAUGGCUUUAGCAAUC